AAAAAAAAAAAAAAAAAAGACUCUCAAGAGAACUUUCCCGCAGAGUAACUUACUCUGCCCCAAGCCUAAACAGUUGGAAAUUGCACUUUCUUUCCCAUGACCUUUGCACUAGACACUUCACCUAUUUAUACUUUUUCCUGAUGCUGUCUUCUCACGAGAAACCAUCCCUUCACCUUCACCUACCCCGCCCUCCUCCCCGGCAGGGAAGUUCCUGCCCUGACUCUAAACUCCUGUGGUAAGGGGGUUGGGGUGGGGGUUGG
rnacentral:misc_RNA from 1 species